GACAAAGGGCAGUGCUUAAGGCAAGCUCCACUUCCUUUGUCAAGCUAACAAAGAAAGUGGAGUUUGCCUUAAGCACAACCCUUUGUCAAGAUUUUU